UGGGGAAUUUUGGACAAUGGGCGAAAGCCUGAUCCAGCCAUGCCGCGUGAGUGAAGAAGGCCUUCGGGUUGUAAAGCUCUUUUAGUCGGAAAGAAAGAGUCGCAAUGAAUAAUUGUGAUUUAUGACGGUACCGACAGAAAAAGCACCGGCUAACUACGUGCCAGCAGCCGCGGUAAUACGUAGGGUGCGAGCGUUAAUCGGAAUUACUGGGCGUAAAGGGUGCGCAGGCGGUUCCUUAAGUCUGAUGUGAAAGCCCCGGGCUUAACCUGGGAAUUGCGUUUGAAACUACAAGGCUAGAGUGCAGCAGAGGGGAGUGGAAUUCCAUGUGUAGCAGUGAAAUGCGUAGAGAUGUGGAAGAACACCGAUGGCGAAGGCAGCUCCCUGGGUUGACACUGACGCUCAUGCACGAAAGCGUGGGGAGCAAACA
rnacentral:rRNA from 1 species